AGCGAACGCUGGCGGCAGGCCUAACACAUGCAAGUCGAACGAAGUCUUCGGACUUAGUGGCGGACGGGUGAGUAACACGUGGGAACGUACCUUUUGAUUCGGAACAACUCAGGGAAACUUGAGCUAAUACCGGAUGAGCCCUUAGGGGGAAAGAUUUAUCGCCGAAAGAGCGGCCCGCGUUAGAUUAGCUAGUUGGUGAGGUAAAGGCUCACCAAGGCUACGAUCUAUAGCUGGUCUGAGAGGAUGAUCAGCCACACUGGGACUGAGACACGGCCCAGACUCCUACGGGAGGCAGCAGUGGGGAAUCUUGCGCAAUGGGCGAAAGCCUGACGCAGCCAUGCCGCGUGAAUGAUGAAGGUCUUAGGAUUGUAAAAUUCUUUUACCAGGGACGAUAAUGACGGUACCUGGAGAAAAAGCCCCGGCUAACUUCGUGCCAGCAGCCGCAGUAACAC
rnacentral:rRNA from 1 species